CCAAGACAAGACACAAACUUUCAGAGACAGAGAGGAAACUUUCCCAUCUGUCGGAGACACUAGCCCUGCUGCUCAUUCCACCCCAAUCAGAGAGGGGAAGCCAAAUGCAGGUCCUCAGCAAAACCAAGCGAAGGCCAGAUCAGCUAGCACCAAACAACAGGUGUCCUAUACAGCAGACAUUCUGCAGCAGUUGCUACUACAACAGCAGGUAA